ACUUUUUGGUCAUGUGCUACAAGGUCAUACAAUUUUCAUCAUGUGCAAAAGUAAAGUAAAAAUUGGUAGUCAUAAUACAAUUUAAAAAAUUCAAGAUUAUUGAUAGCCUAGCAUGGAUUCGGGUGGUUGAGGGGAAAAACCACUACGCGUCCCCAUAAUACUGAGACGGCAUUCACGUUGUGGGUCUUGUUGAAAAUACAGGUCAUUAUUUAACAAUACAACAAUGAACAUGAAUCUUGUUAUCAUACAAUCACAUGGCCAAACAGCACACAAACAAAACCAUCAAUAGAAAUCCUGAGCUAAUACUUUUGGUCAUGUGCUACAAGGUCAUAAAAUAUUCAACAGGUGCAAAAGUAACGUAAAAAUUGGUGGUCAUAAUACAAUUUUUAAAAUUUCAAAAGGAUUGAUAAGCUAACAUGGAUUUGGGGGGUUCAGGUGAUCUUCGUGUAUUGGUGCGCCGGUUCAUGUGGGUGGUUUGGGCAUGGAUUUGGGGAGUUCAAGUGAUCUUCGUGUAUUAGUGUGCCGGUUCCUGUGGGUGGUUUUGGGCGAUGUUAUUAUUGUAGUCAUUGUUUUUACUGUCGCCGUCGGGUUUGUAAUUCAUGAACCCAAGACUCGUCCCUCCUUGUCAAGGGCUCAUCUCAGAGAGGUUACUCCUACACCAUGGGAGCCUCCUCACAGGUUCUCCGUCGUCGUGUCAGCAACAGGUGGCCUGUAAACAACCGUCUCAAAGAUCAACAGUACCAUUAUCAAUGCAGCGAUUCAGAAAUAACGGGUUGCAUUUGCAACACUAUACAAUAACAAACAGCCUGUAUGGUUGUUAGAAAUGUGUUAUUCAAGUAAAUCCGGGAUAUUGAUUAUCUUAUAUACAGGCACUUCUACUAGAAUAGUAUAGGUGUUGACUAUUCUACAUAUUACAGCUGGAUAUGGUCGGGCCUCUCAGGUGAUGUAUCAUUCACUUUCAUCGGAUCAUAUCUGAUCCCCAUGUAAGCCUGAAUGGCACUUGGGGCUUCUGUAGCGCCUACUGCUGUGGGGAUCAGCAGAUGCAGUAGCCCUCGUGCACAGGGAAUACAACGGCAGCCGGUGACAAUUAACACGGUCUCUGCAUUUAUUCCCGCAACGGGCACUUACUGGAUCAUGCUUUUCCACCUCCCAAACAUAUUCUCCAUCCAACCUGUGAAAUGGUCAUUAAUGCCGGAGUUCUCUGCCAAUUCUAACCUGAGGGAUUGUAAUUAUGCCAGCAACCCAUCCAGAGCUGUGUUAUUGGGGAUAAAGUUGGCCUACAACACGUUGUGCCUAUCGCAUUUAUCCCUCCUUGCUCUGUCAAUAACAUUUCCAUAUAUAUACAUAUUCCUUUUAACUUUAUCUGUUAAACUGAACGAAGUGUUGCUGAUUAUGAUACAUGUAAUUUAUCUAAACAAUAUAUAUAUACAUAAUUUUUAUAUGGUGGACAAGCAAAACAGAACCAAUUCAACUCCUGCCGUUAUUUGAUCUCCUCAUGUGACUGCUCCUUGCUCGGCGGAGGCAG
ensembl:lncRNA